UACGGAGGGUGCAAGCGUUGUCCGGAUUUAUUGGGUUUAAAGGGUGCGUAGGCGGCUGAUUAAGUCAGCGGUGAAAGACAUCGGCUCAACCGAUGCAGUGCCGUUGAUACUGGUCAGCUUGAGUGUUGCAGGGGUACAUGGAAUUGAUGGUGUAGCGGUGAAAUGCAUAGAUACCAUCAGGAACACCGAUAGCGAAGGCAUUGUACUGGGCAACAACUGACGCUGAUGCACGAAAGCAUGGGUAGCGAACAGG
rnacentral:rRNA from 1 species